CUUCCCGACAUCUUGCAGCGGACUGUGCCUUACAGGCUGCGGGAGGGGAGAGUGUCUCCCCACGCCGGGGUCCCGGCCUCUGGGUUUUAGGGAGCGCGAAUGGGUCUCCGAGAGCAUCGGGAGCAGCCGGUGGCGCCUCAGGCUGCGGUGGCCACGAGCCCGACUGCACUACGGCGUUGCGGGACCGCGCCAGCGCGGAGGAGACCGAGCCCAUCUCAGCGCGCCUGGCCGGACCCAGAUAUGCAGAAGCUCAAAUCCUAGGCCCUGAGCCAACAUUACACAGAAGCCCCUCCAACAUUUAGAGGCACACACACCAUGACCACCCACACCUUGCAAGGCUCCGGAAGUGUCUUCUCACCUCUGCCAAUAUCAGGUACCCACCUUCCUAUGUGUGUUAGGGUUCUCCAGAGAAACAGAGUAUAUACAU
rnacentral:lncRNA from 1 species